rnacentral:rRNA from 1 species
UGUGUAGGAUAGGUGGGAGGCUUUGAAGUGUGGACGCCAGUCUGCAUGGAGCCGACCUUGAAAUACCACCCUUUAAUGUUUGAUGUUCUAACGUUGACCCGUAAUCCGGGUUGCGGACAGUGUCUGGUGGGUAGUUUGACUGGGGCGGUCUCCUCCUAAAGAGUAACGGAGGAGCACGAAGGUUGGCUAAUCCUGGUCGGACAUCAGGAGGUUAGUGCAAUGGCAUAAGCCAGCUUGACUGCGAGCGUGACGGCGCGAGCAGGUGCGAAAGCAGGUCAUAGUGAUCCGGUGGUUCUGAAUGGAAGGGCCAUCGCUCAACGGAUAAAAGGUACUCCGGGGAUAACAGGCUGAUACCGCCCAAGAGUUCAUAUCGACGGCGGUGUUUGGCACCUCGAUGUCGGCUCAUCACAUCCUGGGGCUGAAGUAGGUCCCAAGGGUAUGGCUGUUCGCCAUUUAAAGUGGUACGCGAGCUGGGUUUAGAACGUCGUGAGACAGUUCGGUCCCUAUCUGCCGUGGGCGCUGGAGAACUGAGGGGGGCUGCUCCUAGUACGAGAGGACCGGAGUGGACGCAUCACUGGUGUUCGGGUUGUCAUGCCAAUGGCACUGCCCGGUAGCUAAAUGCGGAAGAGAUAAGUGCUGAAAGCAUCUAAGCACGAAACUUGCCCCGAGAUGAGUUCUCCCUGACUCCUUGAGAGUCCUGAAGGAACGUUGAAGACGACGACGUUGAUAGGCCGGGUGUGUAAGCGCAGCGAUGCGUUGAGCUAACCGGUACUAAUGAACCGUGAGGCUUAACCUU